UAGGGGGCAAGCGUUAUCCGGAUUUACUGGGUGUAAAGGGAGCGUAGACGGCAGUGCAAGUCUGAAGUGAAAACCCGGGGCUCAACCCCGGGACUGCUUUGGAAACUGUGCAGCUGGAGUGUCGGAGAGGCAAGCGGAAUUCCUAGUGUAGCGGUGAAAUGCGUAGAUAUUAGGAGGAACACCAGUGGCGAAGGCGGCUUGCUGGACGAUGACUGACGUUGAGGCUCGAAAGCGUGGGGAGCAAA
rnacentral:rRNA from 1 species